GACGAACUUUGGCGGCGUGCUUAACACAUGCAAGUCGAACGGAAAGGCCCUGCUUUUGUGGGGUGCUCGAGUGGCGAACGGGUGAGUAACACGUGAGUAACCUGCCCUUGACUUUGGGAUAACUUCAGGAAACUGGGGCUAAUACCGGAUAGGAGCUCCUGCUGCAUGGUGGGGGUUGGAAAGUUUCGGCGGUUGGGGAUGGACUCGCGGCUUAUCAGCUUGUUGGUGGGGUAGUGGCUUACCAAGGCUUUGACGGGUAGCCGGCCUGAGAGGGUGACCGGCCACAUUGGGACUGAGAUACGGCCCAGACUCCUACGGGAGGCAGCAGUGGGGAAUAUUGCACAAUGGGCGGAAGCCUGAUGCAGCAACGCCGCGUGCGGGAUGACGGCCUUCGGGUUGUAAACCGCUUUCGCCUGUGACGAAGCGUGAGUGACGGUAAUGGGUAAAGAAGCACCGGCUAACUACGUGCCAGCAGCCGCGGUGAUACGUAGGGUGCGAGCGUUGUCCGGAUUUAUUGGGCGUAAAGGGCUCGUAGGUGGUUGAUCGCGUCGGAAGUGUAAUCUUGGGGCUUAACCCUGAGCGUGCUUUCGAUACGGGUUGACUUGAGGAAGGUAGGGGAGAGUGGAAUUCCUGGUGGAGCGGUGGAAUGCGCAGAUAUCAGGAGGAACACCAGUGGCGAAGGCGGUUCUCUGGGCCUUUCCUGACGCUGAGGAGCGAAAGCGUGGGGAGCGAACAGGCUUAGAUACCCUGGUAGUCCACGCUGUAAACGGUGGGUACUAGGUGUGGGGUCCAUUCCACGGGUUCCGUGCCGUAGCUAACGCUUUAAGUACCCCGCCUGGGGAGUACGGCCGCAAGGCUAAAACUCAAAGGAAUUGACGGGGCCCCGCACAAGCGGCGGAGCAUGCGGAUUAAUUCGAUGCAACGCGUAGAACCUUACCUGGGUUUGACAUGGAUCGGGAGUGCACAGAGAUGGGUGUGCCUCUUUUGGGGUCGGUUCACAGGUGGUGCAUGCCUGUCGUCAGCUCGUGUCGUGAGAUGUUGGGUUAAGUCCCGCAACGAGCGCAACCCUUGUUCACUGUUGCCAGCACGUUAUGGUGGGGACUCAGUGGAGACCGCCGGGGUCAACUCGGAGGAAGGUGGGGAUGACGUCAGGUCAUCAUGCCCCUUAUGUCCAGGGCUUCACGCAUGCUACAAUGGCUGGUACAGAGAGUGGCGAGCCUGUGAGGGUGAGCGAAUCUCGGAAAGCCGGUCUCAGUUCGGAUUGGGGUCUGCAACUCGACCUCAUGAAGUCUGAGUCGCUAGUAAUCGCAGAUCAGCAACGCUGCGGUGAAUACGUUCCCGGGGCU
rnacentral:rRNA from 1 species